rnacentral:rRNA from 1 species
GAGUUUGAUCCUGGCUCAGGACGAACGCUGGCGGCGUGCCUAAUACAUGCAAGUCGAACGAACUCUGGUAUUGAUUGGUGCUUGCAUCAUGAUUUACAUUUGAGUGAGUGGCGAACUGGUGAGUAACACGUGGGAAACCUGCCCAGAAGCGGGGGAUAACACCUGGAAACAGAUGCUAAUACCGCAUAACAACUUGGACCGCAUGGUCCGAGUUUGAAAGAUGGCUUCGGCUAUCACUUUUGGAUGGUCCCGCGGCGUAUUAGCUAGAUGGUGGGGUAACGGCUCACCAUGGCAAUGAUACGUAGCCGACCUGAGAGGGUAAUCGGCCACAUUGGGACUGAGACACGGCCCAAACUCCUACGGGAGGCAGCAGUAGGGAAUCUUCCACAAUGGACGAAAGUCUGAUGGAGCAACGCCGCGUGAGUGAAGAAGGGUUUCGGCUCGUAAAACUCUGUUGUUAAAGAAGAACAUAUCUGAGAGUAACUGUUCAGGUAUUGACGGUAUUUAACCAGAAAGCCACGGCUAACUACGUGCCAGCAGCCGCGGUAAUACGUAGGUGGCAAGCGUUGUCCGGAUUUAUUGGGCGUAAAGCGAGCGCAGGCGGUUUUUUAAGUCUGAUGUGAAAGCCUUCGGCUCAACCGAAGAAGUGCAUCGGAAACUGGGAAACUUGAGUGCAGAAGAGGACAGUGGAACUCCAUGUGUAGCGGUGAAAUGCGUAGAUAUAUGGAAGAACACCAGUGGCGAAGGCGGCUGUCUGGUCUGUAACUGACGCUGAGGCUCGAAAGUAUGGGUAGCAAACAGGAUUAGAUACCCUGGUAGUCCAUACCGUAAACGAUGAAUGCUAAGUGUUGGAGGGUUUCCGCCCUUCAGUGCUGCAGCUAACGCAUUAAGCAUUCCGCCUGGGGAGUACGGCCGCAAGGCUGAAACUCAAAGGAAUUGACGGGGGCCCGCACAAGCGGUGGAGCAUGUGGUUUAAUUCGAAGCUACGCGAAGAACCUUACCAGGUCUUGACAUACUAUGCAAAUCUAAGAGAUUAGACGUUCCCUUCGGGGACAUGGAUACAGGUGGUGCAUGGUUGUCGUCAGCUCGUGUCGUGAGAUGUUGGGUUAAGUCCCGCAACGAGCGCAACCCUUAUUAUCAGUUGCCAGCAUUAAGUUGGGCACUCUGGUGAGACUGCCGGUGACAAACCGGAGGAAGGUGGGGAUGACGUCAAAUCAUCAUGCCCCUUAUGACCUGGGCUACACACGUGCUACAAUGGAUGGUACAACGAGUUGCGAACUCGCGAGAGUAAGCUAAUCUCUUAAAGCCAUUCUCAGUUCGGAUUGUAGGCUGCAACUCGCCUACAUGAAGUCGGAAUCGCUAGUAAUCGCGGAUCAGCAUGCCGCGGUGAAUACGUUCCCGGGCCUUGUACACACCGCCCGUCACACCAUGAGAGUUUGUAACACCCAAAGUCGGUGGGGUAACCUUUUAGGAACCAGCCGCCUAAGGUGGGACAGAUGAUUAGGGUG